UACGAAGGGGGGCUAGCGUUGCUCGGAAUCACUGGGCGUAAAGGGUGCGUAGGCGGGUUUUUAAGUCAGGGGUGAAAUCCUGGAGCUCAACUCCAGAACUGCCUUUGAUACUGAAGAUCUUGAGUCCGGGAGAGGUGAGUGGAACUGCGAGUGUAGAGGUGAAAUUCGUAGAUAUUCGCAAGAACACCUGUGGCGAAGGCGGCUCACUGGCCCGAUACUGACGCUGAGGCACGAAAGCGUGGGGAGCAAACAGG
rnacentral:rRNA from 1 species